rnacentral:rRNA from 1 species
UUGACCUACGGGACGCAGCAGUGGGGAAUAUUGGACAAUGGGGGGAACCCUGAUCCAGCGACGCCGCGUGAGUGAAGAAGUAUUUCGGUAUGUAAAGCUCUAUCAGCAGGGAAGAAAGAAAUGACGGUACCUGACUAAGAAGCCCCGGCUAACUACGUGCCAGCAGCCGCGGUAAUACGUAGGGGGCAAGCGUUAUCCGGAUUUACUGGGUGUAAAGGGAGCGUAGACGGCGAUGCAAGUCUGAAGCGACAGGCGGGGUCCC